AUUGAACGCUGGCGGCAGGCCUAACACAUGCAAGUCGAGCGGAUGAAGAGAGCUUGCUCUCUGAUUCAGCGGCGGACGGGUGAGUAAUGCCUAGGAAUCUGCCUGGUAGUGGGGGACAACGUUUCGAAAGGAACGCUAAUACCGCAUACGUCCUACGGGAGAAAGCAGGGGACCUUCGGGCCUUGCGCUAUCAGAUGAGCCUAGGUCGGAUUAGCUAGUUGGUGGGGUAAAGGCUCACCAAGGCGACGAUCCGUAACUGGUCUGAGAGGAUGAUCAGUCACACUGGAGAUGAGACACGGUCCAGACUCCUACGGGAGGCAGCAGUGGGGAAUAUUGGACAAUGGGCGAAAGCCUGAUCCAGCCAUGCCGCGUGUGUGAAGAAGGUCUUCGGAUUGUAAAGCAUUUUAAGUUGGGAGGAAGGGCAGUAAGUUAAUACCUUGCUGUUUUGACGUUACCAACAGAAUAAGCACCGGCUAACUUCGUGCCAGCCGCCGCCGUAACAC
rnacentral:rRNA from 1 species